rnacentral:rRNA from 1 species
GGCCUAACACAUGCAAGUCGAGGGGUAUGCUUCUUCGGGAGCAGAGACCGGCGCACGGGUGCGUAACGCGUAUGCAAUCUACCUUUUACAGAGGGAUAGCCCAGAGAAAUUUGGAUUAAUACCUCAUAGUAUAUAGACUCGGCAUCGAGAUUAUAUUAAAGUCACAACGGUAAAAGAUGAGCAUGCGUCCCAUUAGCUAGUUGGUAAGGUAACGGCUUACCAAGGCUACGAUGGGUAGGGGUCCUGAGAGGGAGAUCCCCCACACUGGUACUGAGACACGGACCAGACUCCUACGGGAGGCAGCAGUGAGGAAUAUUGGACAAUGGGCGCAAGCCUGAUCCAGCCAUGCCGCGUGCAGGAUGACGGUCCUAUGGAUUGUAAACUGCUUUUAUACGAGAAGAAACACUCCGACGUGUCGGAGCUUGACGGUAUCGUAAGAAUAAGGAUCGG